AACGAACGCUGGCGGCAUGCCUAACACAUGCAAGUCGAGCGCCCGUAGCAAUACGGGAGCGGCGCACGGGUGAGUAACGCGUGGGAACCUGCCCAGAGGUUCGGGACAACCGCGGGAAACUGCGGCUGAUACCGGAUGAUACCUGAGGGUCAAAGUUUUAUCGCCUUUGGAGGGGCCCGCGUCGGAUUAGGUAGUUGGUGGGGUAACGGCCUACCAAGCCUGUGAUCCGUAACUGGUCUGAGAGGAUGACCAGUCACACUGGGACUGAGACACGGCCCAGACUCCUACGGGAGGCAGCAGUGGGGAGUAUUGGACAAUGGGGGCAACCCUGAUCCAGCAAUGCCGCGUGGGUGAUGAAGGCCUUCGGGUUGUAAAGCCCUUUCGGCGGGGACGAUGAUGACGGUACCCGCAGAAGAAGCCCCGGCUAACUUCGUGCCAGCCGCCGCGGUAAAAC
rnacentral:rRNA from 1 species